UAUAAUUUCUACAGUUUCAUGACUCGAAAAAUAAUAAGUAUUUACAAUGACCUACUUUUAAAGAGCUUUCACAAAAGACGUAGUACAGUAAUAAUUUGAAACUUCAUAUUGUUAGUUCAUAAAUUAUAUUAUAUGUAAUGUAUUUUUUCAGUGUAUGUGUCUGACCAGAGGCCCUCUACCAAGAUUCAAACUUAUAGGCAAUAUACAUUUUCCGAAAAUUAAGGUGACCCCACCCCGCUAUGUGACGCCGCCCACGGAAGAAACGUCUACACUCUGCCCGCCCUGCAUCUGCCCUGAAAACGAUCCUCUUAUGCACUUAGACAGGAAAUAAAUUAUUGAAU